rnacentral:rRNA from 1 species
UACAGAGGGUGCGAGCGUUAAUCGGAAUUACUGGGCGUAAAGGGCGCGUAGGCGGCGUUUUAAGUCGGGGGUGAAAGCCUGUGGCUCAACCACAGAAUGGCCUUCGAUACUGGGACGCUUGAGUAUGGUAGAGGUUGGUGGAACUGCGAGUGUAGAGGUGAAAUUCGUAGAUAUUCGCAAGAACACCGGUGGCGAAGGCGGCCAACUGGACCAUUACUGACGCUGAGGCGCGAAAGCGUGGGGAGCAAACAGG